rnacentral:rRNA from 1 species
AUUGAACGCUGGCGGCAGGCCUAACACAUGCAAGUCGAGCGAGCGGCGGACGGGGGAGUAUUAUAUGGGGAAUGCCCGAUAGAGGGGGAGAACUACUGUAGACAGGGGCUAAUACCCCAUACUCUCGGGGCACCCAUAUGGGAUUAGCUAGUAGGUAAGGUAAUGGCUGACCUAGGCGACGAUCCCUCGCGGGUCUGAGAGGAUGAUCAGCCACACUGGGACUGAGACACGGCCCAGACUCCUACGGAGGCAGCAGUGGGGAAUAUUGCACAAUGGGCGCAAGCCUGAUGCAGCCAGGCCGCGUGUAUGAAGAAGGCCCUAGGGUUGUAAAGUAUUUUCAGUCGGGAGGCGUUACCGGCAGAAGAAGCACCGGCUAACUCCGUGCCAGCAGCCGCGGUAAUUC